rnacentral:rRNA from 1 species
GAUGAACGCUGGCGGCGUGCUUAACACAUGCAAGUCGAACGGAAAGGCUCCUGCUUGCUGGGGUACUCGAGUGGCGAACGGGUGAGUAACACGUGGGUGAUCUGCCCUGCACUUCGGGCUAAGCCUGGGACACUGGGUCUAAUACCGGAUAGGACGAUGGUUUGGAUGCCAUUGUGGAAAGUUUUUCGGUGUGGGUUGAGCUCGCGGCCUAUGAGCUGGUUGGUGGGGUAAUGGCCUACCAAGGCGUCGACGGGUAGCCGGCCUGAGAGGGUGUACGGCCACAUUGGGACUAAGAUACGGCCCAGACUCCUACGGGAGGCAGCAGUAGGGAAUAUUGCACAAUGAGCGCAAGCCGGAUGCAGCGACGCCGCGUGGGGGAUGACGGCCUUCGGGUUGUAGACACCUUUCGCUAGGGACGAAGCGCAAGUGACGGUACCUGGAGAAGAAGCACCGGCUAACUACGUG